AUACUCUUGUUGCUUUGGCAGGCCGUGGUCACCCACUGUGGGCUAUGCCUGCAUGCGCCUGCCAGAGGACCAAACUCUGAAUAUUAGUGAUGUCUGAGUACUAUAUAAUAGUUAAAACUUUCAACAACGGAUCUCUUGGUUCUGGCAUCGAUGAAGAACGCAGCGAAAUGCGAUAAGUAAUGUGAAUUGCAGAAUUCAGUGAAUCAUCGAAUCUUUGAACGCACAUUGCACCCGGUGGUAUUCCGCCGGGUAUGCCUGUUCGAGCGUCAUUAUAACCACUCAAGCCUGUCUUGGUGUUGGGGUUGCGAAUCUUUUGCAGCCCUCGAGUCUCGUAGCGCCACCUGUGGGUUCUAAGCGUAGUAAUUUCUCCUCGCUAUAGAACCUGCUCGGGGAAAAGUAUAAUUCGUAGCCUGGUUCUAUGUGUCCGCUAUAAAACCCCCAAUUUUUAAAGGUUGACCUCGGAUCAAGUAGGGAUACCCGCUGAACUUAAGCAUAU
rnacentral:rRNA from 1 species